GCCCUCGUAUCCCAAUUGGCAGAGGAAACGGAUUAAAAACCCGUGCAGUGUGAGUUCGAGUCUCACGAGGGCACCA
rnacentral:tRNA from 1 species